CCUACGGGUGGCAGCAGUGAGGAAUAUUGGUCAAUGGACGCAAGCCUGAACCAGCCAUGCCGCGUGCAGGAAGACGGCUCUAUGAGUUGUAAACUGCUUUUGUACGAGGGUAAACGCAGAUACGCGUAUCUGUCUGAAAGUAUCGUACGAAUAAGGAUCGGCUAACUCCGUGCCAGCAGCCGCGGUAAUACGGAGGAUUCAAGCGUUAUCCGGAUUUAUUGGGGUUAAAGGGGGCGUAGGCGGGCGGUUAAGUUAGCGGUGAAAUCCCGAGGCUCAACUUCGGAAUUGCCUCUGAUACUGUUCGGCUAGAGAGUAGUUGAGGUAGGCGGAAUGUAUGGUGUAGCGGUGAAAUGCUUAGAGAUCAUACAGAACACCGAUUGCGAAGGCAGCUUACCAAGCUACUUCUGACGUUGAGGCACGAAAGCGUGGGGAGCAAACAGGAUUAGAUACCCGUGUAGUC
rnacentral:rRNA from 1 species